UGAUAUGAAGAGCUUGCUCGGAUUUGAAGAUGAACAUUGCAAAGAGUGGCGAACGGGUGAGUAACACGUGGGAAACCUACCUCUUAGCGGGGGAUAACACUUGGAAACAAGUGCUAAUACCGCAUAAUACUGAUAACCGCAUGGUUAUCAGUUGAAAGAUGGUUCUGCUAUCACUAAGAGAUGGUCCCGCGGUGUAUUAGCUAGUUGGUAAGGUAAUGGCUUACCAAGGCAAUGAUACAUAGCCGAGUUGAGAGACUGAUCGGCCACAAUGGGACUGAGACACGGCCCAUACUCCUACGGGAGGCAGCAGUAGGGAAUCUUCCACAAUGGACGAAAGUCUGAUGGAGCAACGCCGCGUGUGUGAUGAAGGGUUUCGGCUCGUAAAACACUGUUGUAAGAGAAGAAUGACAUUGAGAGUAACUGUUCAGUGUGUGACGGUAUCUUACCAGAAAGGAACGGCUAAAUACGUGCCAGCAGCCGCGGUAAUACGUAUGUUCCAAGCGUUAUCCGGAUUUAUUGGGCGUAAAGCGAGCGCAGACGGUUGUUUAAGUCUGAAGUGAAAGCCCACAGCUUAACUGUGGAAGUGCUUUGGAAACUGGAUAACUUGAGUGCAGUAGAGGAGAGUGG
rnacentral:rRNA from 1 species